rnacentral:rRNA from 1 species
AUUGAACGCUGGCGGCAGGCCUAACACAUGCAAGUCGCACGAGUGGCGGACGGGUGAGUAAUGUCUGGGAAACUGACCGAUGGAGGGGGAUAACUACUGGAAACGGUAGCUAAUACCGCAUACCAUCGGAUGUGCCCAGAUGGGAGUAGCUUGUAGGUGAGGUAACGGCUCACCUAGGCGACGAGCCCUAGCUGGUCUGAGAGGAUGACCAGCAACACUGGAACUGAGACACGGUGAAGAAUCCGAUGGGAGGCAGCAGUUGGGAAUAUUGCACAAUGGUCGCAAGCCUGAUGCAGCCAGGCCGCGGGUAUGAAGAAGGCCUUCGGGUUGUAAAGUACUUUCAGCGGGGAGGCGUUACCCGCAGAAGAAGCACCGGCUAACUCCGUGCCAGCAGCCGCGGUAAUAC